rnacentral:rRNA from 1 species
UACGGGAGGCAGCAGUGGGGAAUAUUGCACAAUGGGCGAAAGCCUGAUGCAGCUAUGCCGCGUGUAUGAAGAAGGCCUUAGGGUUGUAAAGUACUUUCAUCGGGGAGGAAAAACAAAACUAAUAAUUUUAUUUCUUGACGUUACCCGAAAAAGAAGCACCGGCUAACUCCGUGCCAGCAGCCGCGGUAAUACGGAGGGUGCUAGCGUUAAUCAGAAUUACUGGGCGUAAAGAGCACGUAGGUGGUUUUUUUAAGUCAGAUGUGAAGUCCCUGGGCUUAACCUAGGAACUGCAUUUUGAAACUGAAAUACUAGAGUAUCGUAGAGGGAGGUAGAAUUCUAGGUGUAGCGGUGAAAUGCGUAGAUAUCUGGAGGAAUACCUGUGGCGAAAGCGGCCUCCUAAACGAAUACUGACACUGAGGGUGCGAAAGCGUGGGGAGCAAACAGGGAUUAGAUACC